GAAGAGCAGGAGCCUCGACAGGAUGGAGGAAGGCAAUUUCAUGGCGAAGAGGUGGGCGAUGAUGACGAGGAGAAGGACUUUGUAGAUUAUGAAGAGAACGAUGACAAUGAAAUAGUUGCAGAUGAAGAGUAUUCGAGUGAAGAAGUAGAGGAAACCGAAAAUGAAGAAUACAGUGAUACGAUUGAUAAAGAAGUAAGUGAUGCAGGAAAUGAAAAUGAUUGACGGGGUGAAGGGAAUCAAGAGGCAAAUAGGGAGUGAUGACGAGGAAAGAGAAAACAACUUAACGACGGACGAAGAGCAGAAGGGACAGGAAGAGGUCGCAGAGCGAACAUUGUUCCAAGGCUUUGGAAAUAAUUGAUCAAUUAAAAUGGAUAAGCAAAUCUUUUCGGCACAUCAAUAUUUCCACAAAAAAGCAGAAUAUUUGGAAAGUGCUUGCGCUACAAAUUUACUAGGGUUAAAAUAAAUCCUGAUGCAAUGGAGAACAUAUACGACGGGCACAAAUACGAAGAACUAAGUGUACUCUUGUUUUUCGUUUGAGGCUUUAAAUAGAAAAAUCCUGAAUUCUAUCACAAGUCCGUACCGCAGAGCCAAUAGCUGAUACUGUAAAUAGAAAAUUCUGCAACUGUAUUGCGUAUUGCCGAACUAGAUUUUGGUUUAUAUUUAACAUUUUAUCAUACACCGAUAUAGAUGAUACAAUUGCUGGUAUCAUCGCAAGACUAAUGAAGGAUAGAGGAAGUGCAUAUGAAACAGUUUACAUGAGACAUUUCACGCCUUCUGAUCAAACAGCAUUUUCUUUAUAUAACAACAUAAUAGCACCAGGAAUGACAAUAAAAGCACCAGGAAAUGUUUGUGCAGUCCCCUUAUGUAACUCCUGGAAGACCGACUAAGAACUGUAAUGAUCUGCUCGUUCGGUGAAAGGCUGAAAGUCUAAUAAAUGAAAAAUGAAUUUAUCUCAGGCGAAUUAGGAACCGCUGACCUUCCAGGGACGGCAUCAUCACAGAGACAUUGAAGAAUUUUCCUUCCGGAUGGCUUCAGCAAUAAGAGUUAUUGUUUUCUGCGCUGGUCGGGUGUCGAUCCCAACAUUUUCCAUUUGUGAGUCCGUCAAUUCAGCAAGUAUCUCUCAUGACGUAACCCAGAGAGCGGGAGAUGUCGUUGAACCUUAACAUAGGGGAGCUGCCGUGUGAAGUAGAUAUCCGGAAUUUAAUGCGGAGCCAACCCUGAACAGAAAUAAGUUUCUGCUGCCAGAUAAAAUAUUCUAACAGAUUCUAUGACCCCUUUUUGUCGAGCAGCUCUCCUGAACCACUGUACAAUGAAAAGAACCUCUUCAACUUCAUGAGGCUUUUCUGAGACUCCUGCCUUUCGGAGUAAAAAUACAAGCUAAUCUCUUAAAUGGCUUUAAACGAAAUUUGACCAAUUAAUUAGUCUGAUAAACAGAAGAGGCGGUGUGGAAAAUCUGUACAAAAUACCACGACAUAGUUCUUGAACGGCCCCUCAUAUAGUAUAAUAAUUUUUAUUUCCUUGCAUUCCUGUCGAAUUUUAUAAACGCACUACAAAGCAAAAGACGACACCGCAUAUCCCUUACAUGAUGAACACGGCGCUUUUAAUAAAAGCGAAAAAGAAGACAACAUCGAAAAUACAGACAAGGAUGACCUAGAAGAUGGAAAAAUAUACAGAAACUCUGCACAAUGUAAUUCGAGUGACUGGAGGUUUGAAAGAAGGAGCAAAACGUUAUUUGACGACUUCCCUCAGUGUUGUGAAAUUCUACGAAAAAGUAUGACCUUCUUGAAAAUACUGAGAGUACAGCCCGUGUAAUUCGAAUUGACUGAAACAAGUACAAGAAUAUUUCAAUGGGUGCUGUCGCACCUUCUGUCUCUGAAAGUUAUUUCAUCGUACAACAUUUGCCUGAAGGACAAAAUGAUUCGUUAUAAAUACAUUAUAUCUGAACCCUCAACAGUAAAGAUGGUCUUCACAAAAUUACCUACAUU